rnacentral:rRNA from 1 species
AUGACGAGGCACUACGGUGCUGAAGUGACAAAUGCCCUGCUUCCAGGAAAAGCCUCUAAGCAUCAGGUAACAUCAAAUCGUACCCCAAACCGACACAGGUGGUCAGGUAGAGAAUACCAAGGCGCUUGAGAGAACUCGGGUGAAGGAACUAGGCAAAAUGGUGCCGUAACUUCGGGAGAAGGCACGCUGAUGGUAGGUGAAGUGACUUGCUCAUGGAGCUGAAAUCAGUCGAAGAUACCAGCUGGCUGCAACUGUUUAUUAAAAACACAGCACUGUGCAAACACGAAAGUGGACGUAUACGGUGUGACGCCUGCCCGGUGCCGGAAGGUUAAUUGAUGGGGUUAUCCGUAAGGAGAAGCUCUUGAUCGAAGCCCCGGUAAACGGCGGCCGUAACUAUAACGGUCCUAAGGUAGCGAAAUUCCUUGUCGGGUAAGUUCCGACCUGCACGAAUGGCGUAAUGAUGGCCAGGCUGUCUCCACCCGAGACUCAGUGAAAUUGAACUCGCUGUGAAGAUGCAGUGUACCCGCGGCAAGACGGAAAGACCCCGUGAACCUUUACUAUAGCUUGACACUGAACACUGGUCCUUGAUGUGUAGGAUAGGUGGGAGGCUUUGAAGUGUGGACGCCAGUCUGCAUGGAGCCAUCCUUGAAAUACCACCCUUUAAUGGCUGGUGUUCUAACGUGGGCCCCUAAUCGGGGUUGCGGACAGUGUCUGGUGGGUAGUUUGACUGGGGCGGUCUCCUCCUAAAGAGUAACGGAGGAGCACGAAGGUCAGCUAAUCCUGGUCGGACAUCAGGAGGUUAGUGCAAUGGCAUAAGCUGGCUUGACUGCGAGCGUGACGGCGCGAGCAGGUGCGAAAGCAGGUCAUAGUGAUCCGGUGGUUCUGAAUGGAAGGGCCAUCGCUCAACGGAUAAAAGGUACUCCGGGGAUAACAGGCUGAUACCGCCCAAGAGUUCAUAUCGACGGCGGUGUUUGGCACCUCGAUGUCGGCUCAUCACAUCCUGGGGCUGAAGUAGGUCCCAAGGGUAUGGCUGUUCGCCAUUUAAAGUGGUACGCGAGCUGGGUUUAGAACGUCGUGAGACAGUUCGGUCCCUAUCUGCCGUGGGCGCUGGAGAAUUGAGGGGGGCUGCUCCUAGUACGAGAGGACCGGAGUGGACGCAUCACUGGUGUUCGGGUUGUCAUGCCAAUGGCAUUGCCCGGUAGCUAAAUGCGGAAGAGAUAAGUGCUGAAAGCAUCUAAGCACGAAACUUGCCCCGAGAUGAGUUCUCCCUGACUCCUUGAGAGUCCUGAAGGAACGUUGAAGACGACGACGUUGAUAGGCCGGGUGUGUAAGCGCAGCGAUGCGUUGAGCUAACCGGUACUAAUGAACCGUGAGGCUUAACCUU